UUGGAUUUGCUAGAAUCCAGACUUCAUUCGAACUUACUAUAAAGGUUUGCUUUAUAAGUUAGUUUAAGAAGAUCUCUUUUGUUGGGGAUUGGAUGGCGGAUCCAUUUGAGGACAGAGUUCAGGGGCUUAUAAUUAAUUACAAGUCUGGGUGCUCCUCUUUCUUUCUCUGCACUAUUGUUAACAUAGUAAGGCCUUAUAAUUAAUUACAAGCCUGGGUUCUCCUCUUUCUUUCUCUGCACUAUUGUUAAAAUAGAAUGCAAAGCAACUCCAAGGAGAGUUAGAGGCGGAUUAUACCGUUAUCAAGCAAAUGGUUAAUCUCAUUUUUGCAAACCUCCAACAUCUCUUGAUUCAUCUGAAUCGGUCUAGCCUUUGUAGGGAUAUUCCGUUCAUCAAAACCAUCAAUGUACGGGACUUUCUUUCUCUGCACUAUUGUUAACAUAGAAUGCAGAGCAACUCCAAGGAGAGUUAGAGGGGCGGAUUAUACCAUUAUCAAGUAAAUGGUUAAUCUCAUUUUUGCAAACUUCGAACAUCUCUUGAUUCAUCUGAAUCGGUCUAGCCUUUGUAGG
rnacentral:lncRNA from 1 species